GGAUUAGAUACCCUGGUAGUCCACGCCGUAAACGAUGGGCACUAGGUGUCGGGGGUAUCCACUCCCUCGGUGCCGCCGCUAACGUAUUAAGUGCCCCGCCUGGGAAGUACGGUCGCAAGAUUAAAACUCAAAGGAAUUGACGGGGGCCCGCACAAGCGGUGGAGCAUGUGGUUCAAUUCGAUGCAACGCGAAAAACCUUACCUGGGUUUGACAUCUGGUGAACCUUUGUGAAAGCAGAGGGUGCCCUUCGGGGAAUGCCAAGACAGGUGCUGCAUGGCUGUCGUCAGCUCGUGUCG
rnacentral:rRNA from 1 species